GCCCUCUCCCAAACAGGGCGCUCGUCUCGCACUACCCCCAUGUGCUAACUUCUGCUCCCAAGGGUCGCCGCACUACGCGUAAGAAUUCCUCGGCAGGAGCACAGACCGUGCCAGCUCCAGCCCUUGCUGGGAGAUCAAAGCGGAAAGCCUCCACCGAAGUGGAGGCACCUGCCUCCUCAGCCUAGAGGUAACAUAUUUUGCAAUUGCCGUGAGGGUCGCCGUUGGCACUUUUUUUUAUUGAAGCUUGCUCAAUUUUGCAGAAGGCGCAUGCCUCUAUACCAGUCCGAAGAUCACACAGAUGCGCCGAACCGCAACUCCGGUCCCAAGUCUUCGGCUCAAGCCAGAGCCUCCUCCGAACACGCGGCAGCUGGCAUACCCCCGGCGGACUCCGAUGAUUUUUCGGUCACUAAUUCCGAAGUCGAGAGCGUAAUGAACCAUCGCCGCCGGAGGGAGACUUUAUGUCAUUCUUCCUUUGCCAACAAGAAUUCAGUGCUUUUAAUUCGGACGCGUACCUUGGAGCGGCCCAGACAGGCUGCAAGAGAGCAGAAAAAAAGCUGUCUGAGGACCUUGAAGUUAGACGGACACAGUUGGUCGAAACCAAGGCCGAACUGGAUGCGGCUCGAAAAGCCAGCAACGAAAUGUCCGGUAAGUAGAAAAGACUUGUUGCACAGGUAUACGUUGUAUUUUAUGCAUUAACACCAUAUUCUCCAUAUUGCCGCGGGAACUGUAAGCGAGCUGCAAAGGGAGCUAGGGGCUGGCGAACGGGUGCUGACGCGAAGUCAGGAGGAGAAAAAUCAGCUCAAGGAAGAGAAACAACGAAAAGCCGAGGAAAUUGAAAGCUUAAGAACCCAGCUGGCGUAAGCCUUGGAUGAGAACUAGAAGCUAAAAGGUGGCAUAUUUGGUCUCCUAACUCAGCGGCCCGAGGAAGAAGCCAACGCCUAUGACGGGAACCUAAAGGAGCUGUCGAAGACCUAUUAAAGGGCCCGGAAAGCCAUGAAGAGCAUGGUGAAGGCAGUAUGCCUGUCAGAUGCGCCACCUGAGAGUAUUGCUGAACUAGCCAGUCUCUUUAAAGGGCCUCGAUGAAGGUUCGAAUUAUGGAAGAUCUCGGCCUGUAGAGAAGGAGCACGCGAGGCGUGGGCUAUGGUAAAGACCCGUUUCACCAAGCUAGAUCCGGUGCAUAUGGCCCGGGUUGGUCCAGUGGGUCCUGACGGCCAAGAGAUACCACCGAGCUUGGUGUAUGAUGAGGUGAU